GACGAACGCUGGCGGCGUGCCUAAUACAUGCAAGUAGAACGCUGAAGAGAGGAGCUUGCUCUUCUUGGAUGAGUUGCGAACGGGUGAGUAACGCGUAGGUAACCUGCCUUGUAGCGGGGGAUAACUAUUGGAAACGAUAGCUAAUACCGCAUAACAAUGGAUGACCCAUGUCAUUUAUUUGAAAGGGGCAACUGCCCCACUACAAGAUGGACCUGCGUUGUAUUAGCUAGUAGGUGAGGUAACGGCUCACCUAGGCGACGAUACAUAGCCGACCUGAGAGGGUGAUCGGCCACACUGGGACUGAGACACGGCCCAGACUCCUACGGGAGGCAGCAGUAGGGAAUCUUCGGCAAUGGGGGCAACCCUGACCGAGCAACGCCGCGUGAGUGAAGAAGGUUUUCGGAUCGUAAAGCUCUGUUGUAAGUCAAGAACGAGUGUGAGAGUGGAAAGUUCACACUGUGACGGUAGCUUACCAGAAAGGGACGGCUAACUACGUG
rnacentral:rRNA from 1 species